AAGCGGUGGAGCAUGUGGUUAAUUCGAAGCAACGCGAAGAACCUUACCAGGCCUUGACAUGCAGAGAACUUUCCAGAGAUGGAUUGGUGCCUUCGGGAACUCUGACACAGGUGCUGCAUGGCUGUCGUCAGCUCGUGUCGUGAGAUGCUGGGUUAAGUCCCGUAACGAGCGCAACCCUUGUCCUUAGUUACCAGCACGUUAUGGUGGGCACUCUAAGGAGACUGCCGGUGACAAACCGGAGGAAGUGGGGAUGACGUCAAGUCAUCAUGGCCCUUACGGCCUGGGCUACACACGUGCUACAAUGGUCGGUACAAAGGGUUGCCAAGCCGCGAGGUGGAGCUAAUCCCAUAAAACCGAUCGUAGUCCGGAUCGCAGUCUGCAACUCGACUGCGUGAAGUCGGAAUCGCUAGUAAUCGUGAAUCAGAAUGUCACGGUGAAUACGUUCCCGGGCCUU
rnacentral:rRNA from 1 species